AAACAGGAUUAGAUACCCUGGUAGUCCACGCCGUAAACNNNGUCGACUUGGAGGUUGUGCCCUUGAGGCGUGGCUUCCGGAGCUAACGCGUUAAGUCGACCGCCUGGGGAGUACGGCCGCAAGGUUAAAACUCAAAUGAAUUGACGGGGGCCCGCACAAGCGGUGGAGCAUGUGGUUUAAUUCGAUGCAACGCGAAGAACCUUACCUGGUCUUGACAUCCACAGAACUUUCCAGAGAUGGAUUGGUGCCUUCGGGAACUGUGAGACAGGUGCUGCAUGGCUGUCGUCAGCUCGUGUUGUGAAAUGUUGGGUUAAGUCCCGCAACGAGCGCAACCCUUAUCCUUUGUUGCCAGCGGUCCGGCCGGGAACUCAAAGGAGACUGCCAGUGAUAAACUGGAGGAAGGUGGGGAUGACGUCAAGUCAUCAUGGCCCUUACGACCAGGGCUACACACGUGCUACAAUGGCGCAUACAAAGAGAAGCGACCUCGCGAGAGCAAGCGGACCUCAUAAAGUGCGUCGUAGUCCGGAUUGGAGUCUGCAACUCGACUCCAUGAAGUCGGAAUCGCUAGUAAUCGUGGAUCAGAAUGCCACGGUGAAUACGUUCCCGGGCCUUGUACACACCGCCCGUCACACCAUGGGAGUGGGUUGCAAAAGAAG
rnacentral:rRNA from 1 species